UACGUAGGGUGCAAGCGUUGUCCGGAAUUAUUGGGCGUAAAGAGCUCGUAGGCGGUCUGUCGCGUCUGCUGUGAAAACUCAGGGCUUAACCCUGAGCUUGCAGUGGGUACGGGCAGACUAGAGUGCGGUAGGGGGAGACUGGAAUUCCUGGUGUAGCGGUGAAAUGCGCAGAUAUCAGGAGGAACACCGGUGGCGAAGGCGGGUCUCUGGGCAGGUAACUGACGCUGAGGGGCGAAAGCGUGGGGAGCCGAACGAGGA
rnacentral:rRNA from 1 species